UCAACCCUUGCCUAGAUUACCGUUUUCUUGCGCAAAAUAUAGCUAAUACCAGUUCAGAAAAGAGGAAACUGGGCAGUCGUUUUGAAGUUUGGAACUUUGAAUACUUCGAGGUUUCCUUUAUCAAGCUUUGAGAGGUCUUUUUCCUUCUUGGAACAGAAACCCAGCAAUCCUUCCAUCGGUCAUUGGUUUGUGUCUUUGUGAACUCC
rnacentral:lncRNA from 1 species